rnacentral:rRNA from 1 species
GAUGAACGCUGGCGGCGUGCCUAAUACAUGCAAGUCGAGCGAACAGACGAGGAGCUUGCUCCUCUGACGUUAGCGGCGGACGGGUGAGUAACACGUGGAUAACCUACCUAUAAGACUGGGAUAACUUCGGGAAACCGGAGCUAAUACCGGAUAAUAUAUUGAACCGCAUGGUUCAAUAGUGAAAGACGGUUUUGCUGUCACUUAUAGAUGGAUCCGCGCCGCAUUAGCUAGUUGGUAAGGUAACAGCUUACCAAGGCAACGAUGCGUAGCCGACCUGAGAGGGUGAUCGGCCACACUGGACCUGAGACACGGUCCAGACUCCUACGGGAGGCAGCAGUAGGGAAUCUUCCGCAAUGGGCGAAAGCCUGACGGAGCAACGCCGCGUGAGUGAUGAAGGUCUUCGGAUCGUAAAACUCUGUUAUUAGGGAAGAACAAAUGUGUAAGUAACUAUGCACGUCUUGACGGUACCUAAUCAGAAAGCCACGGCUAACUACGU